rnacentral:rRNA from 1 species
GACGAACGCUGGCGGCGUGCUUAACACAUGCAAGUCGAACGGUGAAGCGCCUUCCUUUUUGGUUGGUGUGGAUGCGUGGCGAACGGGUGAGUAACACUUGAGUACCCUUCACCCUGCUUCUGGAUAACCGCAUGAAAGUGUGUCUCAUACAGGAGAUUCUGGGUCUGUCGCAGGAUGGGUCAGGGUAGGCUAUUGGUUCUGUAGGGGAUGGUCUCGCGGCCUUUCAUCUUGUUGGUGUGGUGAGGGUCUACCACGGCUGUGACGGGUGGACGGCCUGACAGGGUGGACGGUCACACUGGGACUGAGACACGGCCGAGACUCAUACGGGGGCCAGCAGUGGGGAAUAGUGAACAGUGGGCGCAAGCCUGAUGCAGGGACGCGGCGGGAGGGAUGACGGCCUUCGGGUUGUGAAGCUCUUUCGCCAGUGAAGCAGGCCUGCCUCGUUUGUGGGUGGGUUGACGGUAGCGGGAUAAGAAGCGCCGGCUAACUACGUG